UUAAAGAUCCAAACAACAUGGUACAAUACAACAACAUGAAGAUCCAAAUACACAUAUUUAAAUUAAAGUCCCAAACAACAUUAUACAAUACAACAAGCCAUCCACUGGUUAUUAUCAAGGAGAGGACUUUAAGCAUCCUUGGACGGUGAAGAUGAAGGUUCCGCUGACCCAACCUCAUCCUUAGGUUUAUUUGUGCCGCCUGAAACGGUAGUACUAAGUGGACGUGAAAUACCCGGGACUGAGGGUGGAGCAUAACGACCACCAAAAGGAGGUUCCUGACCCGCGGCAACAGCUUCUUCAUGACGUUGCUGCAAAUAACGAAGCAUUGCUUUUUCCAACGCGCUCUUUUUCUUCGGCUUAUGCUGAGGGCCAACUAUGAUUGGAACCUUGCCAUAAUAGGAACCACGAUCGCCCCCACCAUCGCCACUUCCUCCAGUAGCAGAAGCCAUCUAUGUACAAAAAUUAUUAUCUUAACACUGCAUAAG
rnacentral:lncRNA from 1 species